UCGGUGUCAAAUGAAACCCAAACAGCGGCAAGCAUUCGCAAUCGUAUAGUUCGCGCCCUCCAGUCAUCAGUAUUGACAGGCGCGCGCAUCCGCUUUGGCAGCAUUGCGCAUAUGCGCGCCCGUUCAUGGUGAUAACUGGACUGCGCGCACUAUACCAUUGCGAAUACCUGCCGCUGUUCAGGUUUCAUUUGACGCCAAUAGUACCUGCAUCCUUACUUCAAAACCUGCG
rnacentral:lncRNA from 1 species